CUCGGAGGUGCGGAGUGGGAACUCGGAGGGGACCCUGGGAAGCCCCGGUGCUUUCCCCGGCGACCGCUUAGCCGCUCCUGAACUCGGCUUCCAGUGGGGCCACCACUGAAACCGGCGACCGUUUCCGCCUCGCUGCCUGCCGCUCGGAGUGUACUAUUUCUUGAACCUCCUGUCCGCGGGCCGCAACAUCUAGAUCGUGGAAGAGAGGGCAGUUGUUUUAGGAUUCUACCUAGGGUUGGCCGAGAAAGGAGAAGAAAUACGGUGUCUGCGCUAGCGCGUGCGCCCCGGGGUUAGACUUGGGUGCGCCCAGCGGACGUGGUAGGUGGGUGGGUGGGUGGGUACCAGAUUGGGCGGGGAAAUAACGAAGAAUCCAUCCUCUCACCAUAAAAGGAGUUGGAGUCAGUUGGCAGUGCCCAGACUGCGGGCUGCGCUUGGUCGGGCACCCCAGGCAAAAAAGAAAAAAAAAAAAGAGAAAGAAAGAGGAGGAGACAGUGAUUGCAGCCUCUCCCGGCGCAGGUGGCAGAGCCUUGCGGCUUUGGAGAGAGGUGGAGCCUUGGUGAGGUUGGGAGGACUGCCUAACUGCGAUCUUUUUCUCCAUUCUUCCUCCUGGGAACUUCUCCGCCCUGAAAGGGUAGCGUGAGCUUCAUGCCUUCGGCCGGCCGUGUUAUACUCGUUAGACCCAAUUCACCAUGAAUCCUUUGAAAGACUAGUGGAGAGUGAGAAGGGGGUUUCAAAGUCACUGGAGUAAAGGAAUUCUCCAAGCACCACCUCAUGAUUAAUUCUUGGAAAAGCCUGUUUGCGCGGCCCUUAGAAUCAUUUUGACUUCUUGUCUAAUGGUGAAGUUUUUCUCUGUAAUCCUUCUACUCUGUUUUCUAAAACCAGAACUAAAAACCUAAAAAAUUGUAAAACUUCAUGGUGUAAUUAAAACCCCUUCACCAUUUUUUUUAAGUAAGAUUGUGUGGCCUUAUUGCACAAUUUAAAUUCCUGGAAAAACCUCUUCCCAUCUGCAGUGUACAAGCAUUCUAACAUAUUAUGUCUCCUCACAGGGUAAGUAAAUAACUGGAUUCUUUUAUGUGAUAAGCAGGUACCCAUUUCUUAAAUGUUAUUUCGUGAACGAACAAACCUCCUAACUGGUUCUUCAGUUAGUCUCAGCAACACAUGGGUAAUAAGAGAAACUAAAAGGGCUUUCCGAUUUCAAGUAAUUACAGGUCAUAAAAUAUCCAGAAUCAUAUUUACUUGCAAAAGGCACUAUAUGGAUAUACUAAUAAAGAAUUAUUCUGUUUAUACUAUUUACUUAAUAAUAUGAGAAAGAAAAAUACACAUUUGUUAGCCAAUAUUAAGAUUGAUGGUGAUUGGUCAUUUUCUUAAAAAUCUUCUUUUAAUCAGUACUCUAAUCACUUCUGUUGUCGAUGCUUCCUUUGAACAGUAACCUCUAGGAUUGUGUCAGCACAGAAAACAAAUCAACAUUAGAAAAAAGGAAACUGCACACUCUGCGCCAUUCCUCACUAACCACAUUGCUUUGCUAUCACUCAUGUCAGUUGCUUGUCAGUAAAUAUAUGGAGGGGAGGUUGGGAAGUCCCUUAUAUUCACUUUCUGCUAAUACAAAUUUUUUUUUUCAAUUUUCUUUCCAUAUGAAGCUUGUAAAAGAGAAAACAAUUGGUUGCUAUUUAUUAAUUUAAGAAUGAUGAAGAAUAUAUUAAAUAUAAAAACUGAGACACACUGCUGAGAUAAUUAGUAACUGUUACAGGUAUUAGCAUGUCAUUGACAAACCAGACUUGUUAUCAAUUGAGCUAUUUUUCUUACUAGUCCUUUGAAUUUUCUUUCUACAGUAGCUUUAGGAAGAAGGAAAAUAAAUAACCUAAUGCUCAAUACUAAAAAAUUGUAAUGAGGUUUAUCUGUAGUCUCUUUUGUUGUACGAUUCUUAAAACUUAAAUUUAGCUUUCAAAAGUAGAAGUUGAAAGUUUAGGUAGCAAAUUAUUUUAUUUUCUUAGUUUGAAAAACUGGGACAGUGGAGCUCAGUUUCUCUUACACUCUGCCAGGAAUUUGCAUUGCAAAAGGAAAGGAAAAAUUGCCAUAAUUAUGUGGGCAAUUCUUGUCAUUUUUUUUCAAUGAAAAGAUUUUUAUUCUAAGCACUUUAAAAAUUCUCCCUCGCAGUUUCUGCCACAAUCCCUACUUCUCUAUGCUGGAAGACCCCAGUUCAGUUAUUUAAAACUGUCAUUAAAUAACUCUCUGAAGGUUUGAACUACUCCAAGAACUGUUUGAUCAGUUUGAUUGCUCUGUUAUAGCUAAUUAUUUGACGAGUUUUUUGAGUAAACAUAUUAAGGUGGGAACCCAUUUAUAAACAAAGGCCGCUUGGGAGCUAGUAACCACUUUUAGUUUUCCUUGGAUCAAAGGAAAUAUGGGACAGACAGGACCUGGGCUCAGCCAGCAGGAGUGGGGUGAGAAAGGGGAUCAUUUCCAGGAGGAAGGCAGCAGGAUGAGUCAGAUCUGGCCUGGACCCCUUCCUGAGCCGCAGCUGGCAGGAUCUUAGAGCAUUCCUGAAGCACUAAUAUUCAUGUAGCAAAGCCUGUGCAAAUUGUGUUUGCUUUUCUCUUUCAUGACAGGCCAUGCAGAGACUCAAAACAGUGUGAAAGGCAUCUAUCAGGUACAAAU
rnacentral:lncRNA from 1 species